rnacentral:rRNA from 1 species
AUUGAACGCUGGCGGCAGGCCUAACACAUGCAAGUCGAGCGGAUGAAGGGAGCUUUCUCCUGGAUUCAGCGGCGGACGGGUGAGUAAUUCCUAGGAAUCUGCCUGGUAUUGGGGGAUAACGUCCGGAAACGGGCGCUAAUACCGCAUCCGUCCUGAGGUAGAAAGUGGGGGAUCUUCGGACCUCACGCUAUUAGAUGAGCCUAGGUCGGAUUAGCUAGUUGGAGGGGUAAAGGCCUACCAAGGCGACGAUCCGUAACUGGUCUGAGAGGAUGAUCAGUCACACUGGAACUGAGACACGGUCCAGACUCCUACGGGAGGCAGCAGUGGGGAAUAUUGGACAAUGGGCGAAAGCCUGAUCCAGCCAUGCCGCGUGUGUGAAGAAGGUCUUCGGAUUGUAAAGCUCUUUAAGUUGGGAGGAAGGGCAGUAAGUUAAUCCCUUGCUGUUUUGACGUUACCAACAGAAUAAGCACCGGCUAACUUCGUG